rnacentral:rRNA from 1 species
GUAAACGAUGCUCACUGGCUGUAUGCGAUAUAUGGUAUGCGGCCAAGCGAAAGCGCUAAGUGAGCCACCUGGGGAGUACGCCGGCAACGGUGAAACUCAAAGGAAUUGACGGGGGCCCGCACAAGCGGAGGAACAUGUGGUUUAAUUCGAUGAUACGCGAGGAACCUUACCUGGGCUUAAAUGGGGACCGACGGAUCUUGAAAGAGGUCUUUCUUCGGACGGUCUUCAAGGUGCUGCAUGGUUGUCGUCAGCUCGUGCCGUGAGGUGUCGGGUUAAGUCCCAUAACGAGCGCAACCCUUACCGUUAGUUACCAACGGGUUAUGCCGGGGACUCUAACGGGACUGCCACCGUAAGGUGUGAGGAAGGGGGGGAUGACGUCAAAUCAGCACGGCCCUUAUGUCCAGGGCUACACACGUGUUACAAUGGGUGGUACAAAGGGCAGCUACAUGGCGACAUGAUGCCAAUCCCCAAAACCACUCUCAGUUCGGAU